UGAUUCCCAUACGAGUUGCAACCUCAUCUGGCAUUUGUCUCUACAAAACUUGCAAGACCACCCAGCAAACCAUGCAUUUCCUUACCCAUUCAGCACCCAACGCACUUUGCUUCACAUUUCGGGGCGCCUCUGUAUAUAUUAAGUUACCUCUGUUCAAAUAUAAAUAUUUAACAUUUCAGUGCAAAUGGUCGAAAUUCCGUUUUAAGCUGCAGCUCUGAAAUGACCAGAAGGACACGUUUCAUGGACAAGUUUGUUGCAAAAUAUUGUUUUGAAUACAUGUCAAAUAAACGUUUGUCUGUCACACACAAACGUGCACACUGUACAGUGCUCACACAAACGCAAGGCUAUGCAAAAAGGACAAACAGAUAAUCAAACAAGGCAAAUAUCUGGCCAAAGUUAAGCAAGCCAAAACUUUGGCAUCUCCCAGAUUUCAGUUGCUGUUCUCAUUUCUCUGCCAAGUGAUUCACUCGCACAGGUGUUAGCCAGAAACGGAGAUUGCCAGUCUAAGGGCGAUGCCAGCGGAAAUAUUCCGAGGAGCCGCGGGCGGACAGGAGCGUGCUGCUCGCUGGCUGCUGAUUUUUUCCAAUAAUUUAACUCACGUUGCGUAUACGCCGCGUAAACGUCGCCCGAAAACGCAACCGCACAUGCCACUUGCUGCACAAUCCAAUCAAAAGUUUACAAUUUACGCUCGAAAUGCUGCGCCUGGGACGCGGCACACAUUGAUAGGCGUCGGCAGCCACCCCCCACCCACAUUGCCACCCAACCACCCAAGCCACUCACCUCCCCCACAUCAUCUACUUUGCCAUCUGAGUGUGCAGGGCGUAAAAAAUGUAUUCAUCGCUUUAAAUAUGUGCAGGACCAAGUUUCGCCGGCAGGCCUACACCUCACAUCCUACCAGUCUGCUGUGUGCGCUGUUAAAGUGGACCUUUGUAAUCGAAAAAUAUGCAAAAAUAAUAAUUAGUUUAGAAAUUAAUUUAUUGUUUAUUUCUUUCUGUCAGAAAGAAGUUGUUUCUUCUCCGCUUUAAGAAAAUUCUUCAAUUCAUGCAGCAGGACAAAUCCGCUUACCGCUCUCACACUCUUUGCGGAAAAACCAAGCUAAGGACAAAACCUUCAGAGUGCGGAACAUUAAAAGAAAAAAUUUUGGAAAAAACCUAGACAGUCGUUUACACGGCUUAUUCGUCUUCAUUUCAACAUCAACGAUGAUUAUGAUUUAAGGUCAUCCAUCCACAAAGGCUUCCAGUAAUGCUCUUGCACUGGAAUGACAGAGGGGUGCAAUCGAAACGUAAUUAGCGUCUUGAGAUGCAUUCAGCUUUAUGCGUAGGAGGAAGUUACUCGAAGACCUAUGAACCGAUGUGCAAUGGAACUUUAAGACACUUUAAAAGAUCAAAAUCAUACAAGUAUACUCGAGGCCAAAGAAAUUAAAUUCCUUCUGUACACUUUGCACCAAAUACCAAUAGAAUCAAGUAGUAGUAUAAAUAAAUUUCAUAGCUUUAUAGCUGCAAUGACUUCCUUACUAUCGGCAAUGAAAUUCAAUAUUCAAUAUUUCGAUUUUCGCCCUCUCCAGUUGCCGUCUGUGUGUAUUGCCACCGCUGCUUGCGACAUUGUGGCAACUGCAACUCUAUUAGGAUCCAUCAAUGUCAGCCAAUUUAUGCGCAUAUUAAAAAUGCGGUCUGCCGAUGACAAACACACCAGCAGCCAGGCUCCAAGGAGCACGAAGUAGUGCUGCCGCAGGAAGAUGAAAGAGAAGGACGCGACAAGGACUUGGCCAGGACGCACGUGGCGCUCACAUAGGCAAACAUAUGACGAUGCGCGAAAUGGAGGAACUACUCGGCAACGUGACAGGAGCAGAAGCGCAAAGAAAACCUGAAGCAGCUGGAGGACUCGGUAGUGCUAUCAAAAAGGGUUCGGAAUACACUUGAAAAAAAAACGCAAGUUUAUGCAAGAAGGUUAUAAGAAACUACUUUUAAAGCUGUUAGGAAAAGAUGCAAAACUUUACAAGAGCUGAUAGUUUAGUGAAAGUAGAUUGUGGUCGUCAAUUCCAAUUUUAAUCUUCUUUGUUUAAUACAAAUGUGAAUAAAGAGUAGGAAAUUUGGCUAGCAGUAGUGCAACUUUAAUGCAACUCGGGGCUGAAACUCCUGAUGCGAUUAGUACGCGUGUGUGGGCUUGUUUACUGGUGGCAGAGGGGAAACCGGAACCGGAAAUCAGAAGAGGGGGAGAGGGAGCACACUCAGUUGCCAAUUAUGACAAAUGCAUGAAAUCGAGUUCAAGCCGAGUAUCCCCAUCGACGCCAC